rnacentral:rRNA from 1 species
UACGGGGGGGAGCAAGCGUUGUUCGGAUUUACUGGGCGUAAAGGGCGCGUAGGCGGUCAGCACAAGUCAGUUGUGAAAUCUCCGGGCUUAACUCGGAAAGGUCAACUGAUACUGUGCGACUAGAGUGCAGAAGGGGGCAACUGGAAUUCUCGGUGUAGCGGUGAAAUGCGUAGAUAUCGAGAGGAACACCUGCGGCGAAGGCGGGUUGCUGGGCUGACACUGACGCUGAUGCGCGAAAGCUAGGGGAGCGAACGGG